rnacentral:rRNA from 1 species
ACGCACGCUUGCGGCGUGCUUAACACAUGCAAGUCGAACGGAAAGGCCCUGCUUUUGUGGGGUGCUCGAGUGGCGAACGGGUGAGUAACACGUGAGUAACCUGCCCUUGACUUUGGGAUAACUUCAGGAAACUGGGGCUAAUACCGGAUAGGAGCUCCUGCUGCAUGGUGGGGGUUGGAAAGUUUCGGCGGUUGGGGAUGGACUCGCGGCUUAUCAGCUUGUUGGUGGGGUAGUGGCUUACCAAGGCUUUGACGGGUAGCCGGCCUGAGAGGGUGACCGGCCACAUUGGGACUGAGAUACGGCCCAGACUCCUACGGGAGGCAGCAGUGGGGAAUAUUGCACAAUGGGCGGAAGCCUGAUGCAGCAACGCCGCGUGCGGGAUGACGGCCUUCGGGUUGUAAACCGCUUUCGCCUGUGACGAAGCGUGAGUGACGGUAAUGGGUAAAGAAGCACCGGCUAACUACGUG